UACAGAGGGUGCGAGCGUUAAUCGGAAUUACUGGGCGUAAAGCGUGCGUAGACGGUAGCGUAAGUCAGAUGUGAAAGCCCCGGGCUCAACCUGGGAAUUGCAUUUGAGACUGCUCUGCUCGGGUGCGGAAGAGGGAAGCGGAAUUUCCGGUGUAGCGGUGAAAUGCGUUGAUAUCCACAGGAACUCCGGUGGCGAAGGCGGCACGCUGGACCUUUUCUGACGCUGAGGCGCGAAAGCCAGGGGAGCGAACGGG
rnacentral:rRNA from 1 species